rnacentral:rRNA from 1 species
CAUGCAAGUCGAACGGUAACGACUUCUUUACUUUCGGGUAAAGAAGGGCGACGAGUGGCGGACGGGUGAGUAACGCAUAGGAAUCUGCCCAGUAGUGGGGGACAACCUGGGGAAACCCAGGCUAAUACCGCAUACGCCCUACGGGGGAAAGCGGGGGAUCUUCGGACCUCGCGCUAUUGGAUGAGCCUAUGUCUGAUUAGCUUGUUGGUAGGGUAACGGCCUACCAAGGCAACGAUCAGUAGCUGGUCUGAGAGGAUGAUCAGCCACACUGCGACUGAGACACGGCGCAGACUCCUACGGGAGGCAGCAGUGGGGAAUAUUGCACAAUGGGCGCAAGCCUGAUGCAGCAAUGCCGCGUGUGUGAAGAGGGCCUGCGGGUUGUAAAGCACUUUCAGUAGUGAAGAAAAGCUUGAGGUUAAUACCUUCAAGUCUUGACGUUAGCUACACAAGAAGCACCGGCUAACUCCGUGCCAGCAGCCGCGGUAAUACGGAGGGUGCGAGCGUUAAUCGGAAUUACUGGGCGUAAAGCGCGCGUAGGCGGUUUGGUAAGUCGGAUGUGAAAUCCCCGGGCUCAACCCGGGAACUGCAUUCGAUACUGCCUGACUAGAAUGUGAUAGAGGUAAGUGGAAUUCCCGGUGUAGCGGUGAAAUGCGUAGAUAUCGGGAGGAACAUCAGUGGCGAAGGCGGCUUACUGGAUCAACAUUGACG